UGCCAACCUGAAAUCUGAAGUAGAAAGUUUCAGCAUCCUUUUUUUUUCCAGGUGUGUUGCCUUUAAUAUACCGGAAAACUUUGUGGCAAGGAACUCUGAGCUUUAACUAAACCUGUUACCAGAAAGAUUCAACCAUCACACUGCUAAUUAAUCAGGAAAGCUUUGUACUUGAGCCAGCCUGCCAUUUGCUAGAGCUUCAACACAUCAGUGGCUGGAGCCAUGGUUUGUAGGUCUCUGGCUUUUACCAGUCCUUUGAAGUUCAGUGGUCUGAUGGCCACCAUGAUGAGCUGGCUGGUGUGUAUCCAUCAUCAUUGGAAGUCUAUCAACACCCUCAUGUCUCAUCAUCGAGGACUGAGUUAAUGAAGCAAUUCUGCCGACCAGGCUGCCUUCAUUUUCUUCUUUGCUAAAUUGGGUUCCUCCCAGCCCAGAAAAAUUGGAAAGGUCCCCUCCUUCAGGAAUCCCUUACUAUGUCAAUCCUUUUGACCAAAAAUGUUAAUACUUUUAUAUUAUUUGAACUUCACCUAUCAGUUCAUUCUGUUCUCUUUUUAAUUAAACAUUUUUUA
rnacentral:lncRNA from 1 species